CAGACGGGAGGGACAAUCUGUUAGCCAUCCUGUUCAGCUGCUUUAUUUUUCAUAAGCACAAAUUCAGAUUGAGUAUUAACAGCAAAAAAAAAAAAAAAGAAAAGAGAACAGCCUUUUUUAUUAUUAUUAUUGGAUAAACACUCCAAAGUGUUUACUUUGAAGGUUCUCAUCUGGAACAAAUCUUCUUCUGAACCAUAAGGUAAAGGCAUUAACAUACAGUUGAUGAGGGGAGGUUACCAGGGCGCGCACGCGUGUGUGUGUGUGUGUGUUUUAUAUAUCUAUCUGAAAACACUCAAAGCGACUGACCACUUUGCAGCUGAGUGGAGCAUGUGAGUCAGAGUUUGCCCCAGCAAUCUCAUCCCCUUCAACAGAACGCUGUAAGCAGCGUUACAGUCAGCAGAGGCGCCUCUUAUUAUUAUUCUGCAUGUGUGAGAAUGUGAGGCGCCGCUAUCUCCGCUCCCCAUCGGUCCGGUUGGUUCUUAACAAAGAGCCGCUGCUGCUUUAUGAGGCCUUUAUCUGCGCUAAUCCGCGCCGCUAAUGCCAUCUCGGACCAGAUUAUCAGCUUCAGAUUGGUAAUGACAGAGCCGUGAACUCUUUCAGAAGUCAUAACCGGAAAAUCUGGACGGGAGUGGAGCCCGACAAAAAAGAGGGUGCGGGAUCAGAGGCAGGACAGAGGAGUGAGAACAGAGAUGAGGAGGUGGGGGGGGUGACAGAAUUGGGUGGCAGUCAAUUUUAAUCUGCAGUCAAAAGAAGAGGCAGCAGGGGGGUUGAUAGAAAUUCCUGCACACACAUGAUUGUGUGAUUGCUUCAACUGACAGAAAUGACAACCAUCCAGACCAGACGAGUGAAUGUGACCCAGAUAAAAGGAGGGAAAGGUUGGAGGGGACGUCUUCUGCUCUCCCGCACUGCGAUAACACAAGUUCUGUUUUUUUUUUCCCUCUUCUCUGCAGAUGCAUGCAGUACGUUCAUAAGGAAACGUUCAAGUUGGGGGACUUCAGUUGUUCACUCUGUGGACUGAGACAAAUGUGUGACAGUGGCGCCUACGUCUCUGUCUGGUUAGAGAAAGAUGGACAGAUGGAAAGAGAGAAACAUUCCUCCAGGUGGAAAGAUUGCAAAUCAAAACGACCACCUCUGGACCCCGUUCCAAUUUGUCUGUCCACUCUGAACUUGUAAAACGGAUCCUAAUACAAUGAGCCGGAACGCGGCGCUCCUGACCGCCUGAAACUCAGCGGCAACAGAUGGAACAAUGAGCUCCUGCGUAUCAGGGAUCUGGCCUCCACCGCCGCACACAUAAUUCAGCCAGGAUCGCACACAAACUUAAACACUGUAAUCCAUUUUUCUGAACAAAAAACAUCUGGGACCGAAAAUCCACUAAUCUGAUAUUAAAUCCGCCGAUUUGUUGAAAAACAGUGAGAUUAGCCAGAAUGUCAGGAAAAAAAAAAAAACUGACUUAACUGCAUAUGAGGAGGAGGAGGUUGGAUUGUGUGUGAGGCUUUGUGUGAGUUUGAGUGUGUGUGCUGGUAUUGUAUGCUGGGUGUUUGCGCUGUCCUGGCUCAUGUAAGAGGCUUGUCUAAUCUCAUUGGUGAUACCUUCUGUCUGUCAUCCACUCCUCUCUUUAUUAUUCCCCCACUUCAUUGCUCUGGAAAAAAAAAAGGAAACACUAAUCCUCAUCUCUCUCUCUCCCAUUCCCUCCCUUCUCCUCUCUCCUAUGUCUCUCUCUGUCUCUUUCAGUCACUAAUAAACACAUAACAAUGAAGCCGCCCUGCAGGCAAAUAGCAGCACGGAGGAACAACACAAACACUAAUUAUAGCCUGUUACAUAUGUGUAAUAUUUGAACUAUCAGUGCUGCAUGAAAAAUGGAUUAGGAGUAAAAAAUAGUGAUUCAUUUGUCAUUUUUUUCUUUAUGUGAGCAUGUGGUUAGGAAGGAUUAUGGUGCUGUCAUCACAGUACUGCUAGAAAAAAAAAUACUGUUCUUGUUGUUAUAGAAACACUUUUUCUUAAAAACUUUGAGAUUUCCACUCAUGGCAAUGUAUAUUUCUUGUAAAAAUGUUUGCAGCUUAAGAAACUGAGCUUGUACAUCUACAGUUUGUUUAGAGACGGAGUGGGACGUUUUAAUUGGUCAAAAAGCUUCGUAAGUGUUGAAGUUGUUACUGAUGGAAGUAGACUCAGCUAGAUAUUUUUCAUGUCAAUAAACUGUUAAAAAGUAACUGUGUUCCCUGUUAUCCCUAAAAUAAAAUCUGGCACCAGUGACAAUUUGCCAAACCCAUAAGUGCAGAUCUAUUUAGUCUAAUUCUACGCUUUGUGCUCUGAGCUUCAUUAUUUAUUUUACAUUAUAUUUAGAAUUUCUAAUUCCACUUUCUGAACCAUUUAAAAGAUUUGUUGCAGUUUAUUUUUAGUUUGACCAAGAUAGUCAACCUUUUUGAUUUUGUCAGUUUAACUUUAUUUAUUUUACAUUGGCUGUUGUUCUCCUAAUUUCACUGAUUGAACAAAUGAAAGUUGUUUUUGCAUAUUUGAACAAAGCUUGUAAAGUUAUUAAUCAAUUUAAAUGUGCUGUACUGAUGCCGAGUUAUAAAAUAAAUUUGUACAUAAACACA